CCUACGGGAGGCAGCAGUGGGGAAUAUUGCACAAUGGGCGAAACCCUGAUGCAGCCAUGCCGCGUGUGUGAAGAAGUCCUUCGUUUUGUAAAGUUCUAUCCGCAGGGAAGAAAAUGACGUUACCUGUGUAAGCAGCACCGGCCAACUACGUGCCAGCAGCCGCGGUAAUACGUAGGGGGCAAGCGUUAACUGGAUUUACUGGUUGUAAAGGGAGCGUAGACGGCAGUGCAAGUCUGGAGUGAAAGGCGGGGGCUCAACCCGCGGACUGCUCUGGAGACUGUCCGGCUGGAGUGCAGUAGAGGGGGGUAGAAUUCCUGGUGUAGCGGUGAAAUGCGUAGAUAUUAGGAGGAACACCAGUGGCGAAGGCGGCUCACUGGACUGAGACUGACGUUGAGGCGCGAAAGCGUGGGGAGCAAACAGGAUUAGAUACCCCUGUAGUC
rnacentral:rRNA from 1 species